CCCACAAUGUUGCAGAUUGCAGCUUAAAAGAAAACCAAAUUACCAUAAAAAUCAGGAUGUGUUUUGCUGCAUCAGUAUCAUGUUGGCAUCGACAAGACAGAUUCAGUCAGAAGAGAAAGAGGCUUUUUGUUAGGCACCCUAGCUGUACUGUGCAUCUGUACUGAGUAUAUAAGCCAAACGGGCAGAAGACAAAGUUAAAACUAAUAGAGAAGUGAUAUCCUGCAGAGUCUAUACAGAAUCAUUGUGCCAAAUUACACCAAAAUCCAAGAAUGCUGGUACUUGGCUUGCCUGGUGACUCACCUCUGCUACAGUACCUGACUUCGGUGAAGAGUUUCAAGUGCAAAUAAUCAGAGGUUACUGCAUAUUGGGGAAUUCACCAUCAGUCAUUAAUACCUUCACUUUACUUCUAUAAGGCUGCUAUUCUUCCCCUUUGCAAUCCUCCAACAUCUCUGUGGAAACUGCAAAUUAACAUGGGAAAUUAAUGUUUACAGUGUUGCGCUGCAGUUUGCUGACCCCAGGAUAUUAGAGAGACAAGAAAACUCACCCCUGUACAGAGCACAGGCUUCAAUGAAACUUCACUGAUACAAAGGCCUUCUGCUGAUCCUCUGCACAGGGAACAAUUUCACCCCAAAAGAGCAAAAUGGCAUAACAAGUAGAGGCUGACACAGAAAGAAAAAAUGAGGAAAGACAACUGAUCUCCCAAAGUAUUUACCUCUAAUUCUAAAUUCCCCCGUAAUUAUUCCAAAGUUUGUGUUGGCUCACAUUUGUAUUUUCUUAAAUUUGUAUUUUUGUAAUGUGUAUUUAAUUACUCAUUUGGGGCAAUUUUGUUUGAUAGUGAGCCCUGAGAACUGGUUCUCGUUCUCAGAUGGGUCCUAACCAGAAAUGUCUUGAGAAUCAUAAAGCAACAUGGUGGAUAUUAAGAGUCCUUCAGGAGCAUGUGACAUGUAUGUGUUGCAAUAUGUAGCAUACUUUUAGGGUGGAGUUUUGGGGAGUUGGGUGCUAACUCCCUUCGAGUCCUUUAAAAAUACCAGCAUUAGUAAGUAGGUACUAAGCUGUCUAACUACUUAGAUCACACAGAAUGAGUGUUUUGCUGAUAAGGAAGGGAAAAUCCAUUUGAAUAGCUAAUGCUACAGUUAUUUUUAAGGUUUCAGAGUAGCAGCCGUGUUAGUCUGUAUUCGCAAAAAGAAAAGGAGUACUUGUGGCACCUUAGAGACUA